GACAGAGGGUGCAAACGUUGUUCGGAAUUACUGGGCGUAAAGCGCAUGUAGGCGGCAACGCAAGUCGGGCGUGAAAUCCCACGGCUCAACCGUGGAAGUGCACUCGAAACUGCGUAGCUAGAGUCCUGGAGAGGAAGGUGGAAUGCUUGGUGUAGAGGUGAAAUUCGUAGAUAUCAAGCGGAACACCGGUGGCGAAAGCGGCUCACUGGACCAUAACUGACGCUGAUGCACGAAAGCUAGGGGAGCAAACAGG
rnacentral:rRNA from 1 species